rnacentral:snRNA from 1 species
GUGCUUGCUUUGACAGCACACAUCCUAAAAUUGGAAUACAGAGAAAAUUAGCGUGUCCCCUGUGCAAGGAUGAUGUGUAAAUUUGUGAAAUGUUCCUUAUUUAU